AACGAACGCUGGCGGCAGGCCUAACGCAUGCAAGUCGAGCGAGACCUUCGGGUCUAGCGGCGGACGGAUUAGUAACGCGUGGGAACGUGCCCUUCUCUGCGGAAUAGCCACUGGAAACGGUGAGUAAUACCGCAUACGCCCUUCGGGGGAAAGAUUUAUCGGAGAAGGAUCGGCCCGCGUUAGAUUAGAUAGUUGGUGGGGUAACGGCCUACCAAGUCUACGAUCUAUAGCUGGGUUUUAGAGGAUGAUCAGCAACACUGGGACUGAGACACGGCCCAGACUCCUACGGGAGGCAGCAGUGGGGAAUCUUAGACAAUGGGCGCAAGCCUGAUCUAGCCAUGCCGCGUGUGUGAUGAAGGUCUUAGGAUCGUAAAGCACUUUCGCCAGGGAUGAUAAUGACAGUACCUGGUAAAGAAACCCCGGCUAACUCCGUG
rnacentral:rRNA from 1 species